rnacentral:rRNA from 1 species
GAUAAUGGAAUACCCCUCUGUCCUCCUAUUUUCAGUUGGUUUUGGCAGCGCGAGGACUARGGUAAUGAUUAAUAGGGAUAGUUGGGGGCAUUAAUAUUUAAUUGUCAGAGGUGAAAUUCUUGGAUUUAUGAAAGAUUAACUUCUGCGAAAGCAUCUGCCAAGGAUGUUUUCAUUAAUCAAGAACGAAAGUUAGGGGAUCGAAGACGAUCAGAUACCGUCGUAGUCUUAACCAUAAACGAUGCCGACCAGCGAUUAGGAGACGUUGAAUACAAAACACCACCAUCGGUGGGGGCGAUCCUGGGGGUC